rnacentral:lncRNA from 12 species
AUUACACACACACAGCUGAGUGCACUGAUUGCACACAGCUGUAACCCAUCACACAUUUACUAUAUAACGCUCACUUAGAUCACUUUCAAACUGCCGAGUAUUGUUCUGCACAUAUCACUCCCCUAGCGAUAGCAAGCCAUUCCGUGUUUGUUUUCAUAGUCUUGUUUAAGUUUAUAUUUUUCAUAGUCUUGUUUAAGCUUAUAGUUUUCAUAGUCUUGUUUCAGUUUAUAGUUUUCAUAGUCUUGUUUCAGUUUAUAGUUUUCAUAGUCUUGUUUCAGUUUAUAGUUUUCAUAGUCUUGUAUCAGUUUAUAGUUUUCAUAGUCUUGUUUCAGUUUAUAGUUUUCAUAGUCUUGUUUCAGUUUAUAGUUUUCAUAGUCUUGUUUCAGUUUAUAGUUUUCAUAGUCUUGUUUCAGUUUAUAGUUUUCAUAGUCUUGUUUCAGUUUAUAGUUUUCAUAGUCUUGUUUCAGUUUAUAGUUUUCAUAGUCUUGUUUCAGUUUAUAGUUUUCAUAGUCUUGUUUCAGUUUAUAGUUUUCAUAGUCUUGUUUCAGUUUAUAGUUUUCAUAGUCUUGUUUCAGUUUAUAGUUUUCAUAGUCUUGUUUCAGUUUAUAGUUUUCAUAGUCUUGUUUCAGUUUAUAGUUUUCAUAGUCUUGUUUCAGUUUAUAGUUUUCAUAGUCUUGUUUCAGUUUAUAGUUUUCAUAGUCUUGUUUCAGUUUAUAGUUUUCAUAGUCUUGUUUCAGUUUAUAGUUUUCAUAGUCUUGUUUCAGUUUAUAGUUUUCAUAGUCUUGUUUCAGUUUAUAGUUUUCAUAGUCUUGUUUCAGUUUAUAGUUUUCAUAGUCUUGUUUCAGUUUAUAGUUUUCAUAGUCUUGUUUCAGUUUAUAGUUUUCAUAGUCUUGUUUCAGUUUAUAGUUUUCAUAGUCUUGUUUCAGUUUAUAGUUUUCAUAGUCUUGUUUCAGUAUAGUUUUCAUAGUUUAGUAUUUUUCUUGCUUGCCCUUGGAUUAUUCUUGUGUCUUGCCCAUACCAUACCUGUUUGCUCCUGUUUCGACCCUGUCUGUGUUUAGACCAUGUCAAGGAAUAAAAGCUCGCAUAUCCGCACGUCUCACGUUUCUGUCACUCCGUUACACUAAGGCUGCAGUAAUAGUAAUAUUGACAAAUAUUAUUUACAUUUAUAAUAAAUGUUUUCUAUGUGAAUAUCUGUUAAACUGUAAUUAAAUGCUUUGAUCAAAGCUGAAUUCUCAGCAUUAUUACUUCAGUCUUCAGUGUCACAUGAUCCUUCAGAAAUCAUUCUAAUAUGCUGAUUUGCUGCUCUUG